CCUGGAAAGAUUUUGAAACAAAUGCAUCUCGUGACUGUUACAUUAGAAAGACAGAAGGAGAGGUGGUGUCACAUGAGAUGUCGCUGGAGAGACACGAAGCAGAAAUGUAAAGGGAGAUAUCAUGUCUUCACAACAAUGAAGAUCAGAAUCCCUCUCAGGUCACUGAGCUGCUGUAGAAGAUAAACAAGAUGGUCAUGAUGAAUGGAGGAAGAUACUACAGCAAUGAGAUGUUCCAGGAGGCUGAGAGAGAGAGAAUGAAGAAGACGAGGAGAGGAUCCUGAGAGAGAGAGAAUGAAGAAGACGAGGAUCCUGAGAGAGAGAGAAUGAAGAAGACGAGGAUCCUGAGAGAGAGAGAAUGAAGAAGACGAGGAUCCUGAGAGAGAGAGAAUGAAGAAGACGAGAAGAGGAUCCUGAGAGAGAGAGAAUGAAGAAGACGAGAAGAGGAUCCUGAGAGAGAGAGAAUGAAGACGAGGAGAGGAUCCUGAGAGAGAGAGAAUGAAGAAGACGAGAAGAGGAUCCUGAGAGAGAGAGAAUGAAGAAGACGAGAAGAGGAUCCUGAGAGAGAGAGAAUGAAGAAGACGAGAAGAGGAUCCUGAGAGAGAGAGAAUGAAGAAGACGAGAAGAGGAUCCUGAGAGAGAGAGAAUGAAGAAGACGAGAAGAGGAUCCUGAGAGAGAGAGAAUGAAGAAGACUAGGAGAGGAUCCUGAGAGAGAGAUGGAAGAGAGGAUCCUGAGAGAGAGAUUGAAGAAAAUGAAGAGAGGAUCCUGAGAGAGAGAUUGAAGAGAGGAAGAGAGGAUCAUGAGAGAGAGAUGGAAGAGAGGAAGAGAGGAUCAUGAGAGAGAGAUGGAAGAGAGGAGAGAGGAUCCUGAGAGAGAGAGAAUGAAGAAGACGAGGAGAGGAUCCUGAGAGAGAGAAUGAAGAGAGGAAGAGGAUCCUGAGAGAGAGAAGGAAAAGAGGAUCCUGAGAGAGAGAAGGAAAAGAGGAUCCUGAGAGAGAGAGAUGGAAGAGAGGAUCCUGAGAGAGAGAGAUGGAAGAGAGGAUC
ensembl:lncRNA